UACCAGCUCUCCGAGUGGUGUGGAUGUUUAUUGGGCCUAAAGCAUCCGUAGCUGGCUGGGCAAGUCCCCUGUUAAAUCCACCGAUUUAAUCGUUGGUGUGCGGGGGAUACUGUUCGGCUAGGGGACGGGAGAGGCCGACGGUAUUUUCGGGGUAGGGGUGAAAUCCUAUAAUCCCGGGAAGACCACCAGUGGCGAAGGCUGUCGGCCAGAACGCGCCCGACGGUGAGGGAUGAAAGCUGGGGGAGCGAACCGGAUUAGAUACCCGGGUAGUCCCAGCUGUAAACGAUGCAGGCUAGGUGUUUGGGCGGCCACGUGCCGCUCUAGUGCCGCAGAGAAGUCGUUAAGCCUGCCGCCUGGGGAGUACGGCCGCAAGGCUGAAACUUAAAGGAAUUGGCGGGGGAGCACCACAAGGGGUGAAGCUUGCGGUUU
rnacentral:rRNA from 1 species